CUGGCGGCGUGCCUAAUACAUGCAAGUCGAACGGUCUUUCUAUGGAAGCUUGCUUCCACUGAGAAGAUAGUGGCGAACGGGUGAGUAACACGUGGGUAACCUGCCCAUAAGAGGGGGAUAACAUCCGGAAACGGGUGCUAAUACCGCAUAGUUUUCUUGAUCGCAUGAUCGGGAAAGGAAAGACGGCCUUUGUGCUGUCGCUUAUGGAUGGACCCGCGGCGUAUUAGUUAGUUGGUGAGGUAACGGCUCACCAAGACGAUGAUACGUAGCCGACCUGAGAGGGUGAUCGGCCACAUUGGGACUGAGACACGGCCCAAACUCCUACGGGAGGCAGCAGUAGGGAAUCUUCCGCAAUGGACGAAAGUCUGACGGAGCAACGCCGCGUGAGUGAAGAAAAGGUUUUCGGAUCGUAAAACUCUGUUGUCAGAGAAGAACAAGUUGGAGAGUAACUGCUCCAGCCUUGACGGUAUCUGACCAGAAAGCCACGGCUAACUACGUGCCAGCCGCCGC
rnacentral:rRNA from 1 species